rnacentral:misc_RNA from 1 species
CGCAGCCGCGGUAAUUCCAGCUCCAAUAGCGUAUAUUAAAGUUGUUGCAGUUAAAAAGCUCGUAGUUGAAUUUCGGGAUUAAUAUGUUGGUCGUGCCUUGGUACGUACUGGCAUUAUUGAUUCCUACCUUCUGAAGAACCUCGAUGUCAUUAAUUUGGUGUCUUGGGAAAUCAGGACCGUUACUUUGAAAAAAUUAGAGUGUUUAAAGCAGGCUCGCGCUUGAAUACAUUAGCAUGGAAUAAUGAAAUAGGACGUUUGAUUCUAUUUUGUUGGUUUCUAGGAUCGACGUAAUGAUUAAUAGGGAUAGUUGGGGGCAUUAGUAUUCAAUUGUCAGAGGUGAAAUUCUUGGAUUUAUUGAAGACUGACUACUGCGAAAGCAUUUGCCAAGGAUGUUUUCAUUAAUCAAGAACGAAAGUUAGGGGAUCGAAGACGAUCAGAUACCGUCGUAGUCUUAACCAUAAACUAUGCCGACUAGGGAUCGGAUGAUGUUAAUUUUUAAUGUACUCAUUCGGCGCCUUAC